UAAGACUAUUGGUCUACUUACAUAAACAGAAGAAUGAUUUCUAAAAUAAGAGGCGGGUGCUAAUCAAAGUUUUGAUAGUGCUGCUUCCAUUCAUGCAUAUACAAAUAAAACAUGGCUGAAAAGAAGAAAUCGCACUGCUCUAAAAAGCCAAAUGAUAUUCCAGUUGAAGACUAUAUUAAGAGUGGAUAACAUGAAGUCUCAGCUUUAUUGGACUUAGAUGAAAUUGAGAAGUUGUGAUGAUCAUGCAUUUUCAGUUACAUUAAUGAGUGGUAUCAGUGAAACUGGAUUCGACUCUGAUUGGAAUUUGAAACCAACUUAUAGUAUGAAUUUUUGAGUAUGUUAUAAAUCCCUAUUGUAAAACCAUGUAUUUUAUAAAGAACUUACGAACCAAUGCUCCACGAUUUAACUUCUAUAUCAGGGAAGAGCAUCUUUUGUUUUCUUUACAUUUGCUCAUGGUCCACAAGUGUAUUAUACCAUACAAAAAUAUCACACUCUGCCAAACGUAUCCAGCAUCCUUUCUUGACUCUUUGUCCAUAUUCUCUCUUAUACUCACCUUCUUGUAUCUUGUAUCUAUGAUACCUUGCACCACCAUCAUUGACAUCUUCCCAGCUCCUCCCAGCCACCAAUAUAUAAUGCAAGGUAAUCGUGUGUCUUCUCUACAGCAAAAUACUUGUGUUUGUCCUUCUGUCAUAGUUUAGCCCUUCAAUACUUGGCAUUAAGCAACCUCCCUCUCUACUACAACCUCAUUCGGAUGAAGGGGUCUUUUGUUUUGUUUUGUUAGUUAUUUGGUGAUCUCCCUGGGACUGGUGUUUCAAAAAAGGUACCUGGCACAUUCUGUAAAGUGGUUGGCAUUAGGAAGCACAUUCAGCUGUAAAAAUCAUGUCAAAACAGACAUUGGAGCUCAACACAGUCCUCUAGCUCAUUGGAACUUGCUUAGCUGUCCAACCCAUGCCAGCAUGGAUAACAGAUAUCAUAUGAUGACAAUGAUGGUUCCCCCAGCCCCUUGUCUUUCAUUGGCAAUGCUAAUAUGAGUAAAAAAAACAUCAUAAUGCAAGUGACUAUCUAAAAGCCAUCAAUGGUUCAAUAAUCCACAAACAUUAAAUUUCAGAAUUUUUUAUAAAAGUGCAAUGCCACAGAGAACACCUCAGUAGCCACUUGAUUUAUGUGCUCACUUGACCUGCAAAAAAUAGCAGCUAAAUUUCUCUCAAACCUCUAUGUAUUCAAACAACAUGACAAUGAUGGUGAAAAUAAGUACCUCCAUGUCUUAGACUUGAUGGAAACCACAAUCCAAAUUUUGGUGAGGCCACAAUCAUUCUCCAGAUUUUAAGCCAUUCUUCAAGUUCUUCAAGCUCUUUCAGAGGUGAUGGCAGAGGAAAGUGGUUCCUCACUUGCUACUCUAAAAGGCACCAUAAAUAUUCUAUUAUAUUGAGAUCCAGUAAUUGUGUAAGGGCAAUCUAUCUGUGCUCUUCGAACCAGUUUUAAAUAGCCUUUGCCAUGUGAACUGGUGUCCAAACACAUCAUUGUUAGUUAACAAAACAACUGAACUUCUAUGCAGUUACUCAACCUGCUAGAAUUAAGAACUAAAUCUCCCUCAAAUCUAUUCUCUUACAAAAGAUCUAUUCUCUUAUAAAAAAAUCUAUUCUCUAAUAAAAAAAAAAAUUUUUUAACUGGCCAUAUCCAGCCCAAAUAUUCUACUUGUUUUUUUUUGUUCAAACUGGCCAGAUCUGGCCUCUCACACCCUACCCUACAAUGUCAUUCUGAAGAUAAAUAAUCAUAUCAUUGAAAUCUCAAAGCUAUGAGAUAAUGCAGGAUUAUGUCAAAAUAAUGUGAAUAAAUAAGGAUUACAUUUGACAGAGGAAUCUGAAUGUUAACGAAUAACAUUAGAUAAUGUGGUCUUAGAAGUACUGCCUGAAAUAAAAAUGACAAGAUGUUUGCUGCUUGUACAACUUAGCUCAUAGAACUGCUUGGUCAGAGUUGACCUGUAGGGUAGUCAAUGACAACAUUAUUAUUACUGUUUAUAAUGAUAGGCUGUAUUUCAGCAGUGUGGAAUGGGUCAUUAUCAGCAGUUGCUUCCUUGAUGUCUUGUACAUAAUAAUACAUCUAACAUCAGACAGAUCACCAGUGCAGUGACUGGUUGUUGUUGUUGUUGUUGUUGUUGUUGUUUAACUGCAAGUCUGCUCUGAGCAUGUAGUCCUGAGAACAAAGGUUUUCCAAAAUACAACCAUUUUGUUUUUGUCUGUUAAUAUUUUUCACAUAUCUGUGACUACACUGUGAAAUGUUCUGUAUUUUUUUUUUGUUUUUUUUUUACACCUUCGACAUCAGAGGGAGUUAACUGUUGUUUCUAGUAACUCAAAUGACUGCAUAGAGCAACAGUGGCUAAACUUCACUUCCCAAGCUAAUACUGGGUUUUGGUGUUAUUUUUCCUAAAGCUGCUUUUACAUCCUACAAGCCGGAUUUUAAAGUAUUAACUGCAAAAUAAAGAUUUAAUAAACGCCUUCAGUGAGCAGAUAUAUAUCAAUCCACUAUAGCAAGUAAAUCUACACAGCUUUAUUUUCUCAGAUUUAUAAAUAUAAUUUUUAAAAUAUGUAUUGCAGCUCUUGAAGGAAAAAUUAUCAUACAUGUUUCUUCUUAUCAAACAACUUGGCCAUCCCUGGCUGAGAGUCUCCUUUUACUAAUAGUUAGAAGUGCAAAAUAUUAUAUGUUGUAACAAAUAUAACUUCCAUCAUCUUAACAUUCUACUUUUCCAUGCUUGCAUGACUCAGGCAGAAUUUGUUGAGGCAGGUUUUCUACAGUGAAAUGUCCUUCCUGCCACCAAACUUCAUCUAUUUUCCUUAUGGUCUGACAUAUUUUCAGGGCAAGAGAUCGGAAGCAAACAGCAUUGUUUGUUCAAUGGUGGUGCUUGUCGUGGCCGUCACACAAUGUCAAGACAGAGACAUGCACACAUCAGGAGUGAAUUUGGUUGACGGAAAUUGUGUGGAAUCCCAUUGUAUGUGUGUCUUUGUGUUAGUCUCCAACUACCACGUGACAAUUGGUUUUGGUUUGUUAACAUCCACAUUACUAAGCAGUUCAGCAAAAGAGACUCAUAAAAUAAAUACCAGACUUAUAAAUAAGGCACAUGAGUGGCUGUGCAGUAAGAAGCUUGCAUCCCAACUUCAUGGUUCCGGGUUCAGUCCCACUGUGUGGCACCCUGGGCAAGUGUCUUCUACUAUAGCCUCAGGCCGACCAAAGCCUUGUGAGUGGAUUUGGUAGAUGGAAACUGAA